rnacentral:rRNA from 1 species
UACGUAGGGUGCAAGCGUUAAUCGGAAUUACUGGGCGUAAAGCGUGCGCAGGCGGUGAUGUAAGACAGGUGUGAAAUCCCCGGGCUCAACCUGGGAACUGCAUUUGUGACUGCAUAGCUAGAGUACGGUAGAGGGGGAUGGAAUUCCGCGUGUAGCAGUGAAAUGCGUAGAUAUGCGGAGGAACACCGAUGGCGAAGGCAAUCCCCUGGACCUGUACUGACGCUCAUGCACGAAAGCGUGGGGAGCAAACAGG